UACGUAGGUGGCAAGCGUUGUCCGGAUUUAUUGGGUUUAAAGGGUGCGUAGGCGGCUUUGUAAGUCAGUGGUGAAAUAUGGCAGCUCAACUGUCAGGGUGCCAUUGAUACUGCGGAGCUUGAGUACAGAUGAGGUAGGCGGAAUUGACGGUGUAGCGGUGAAAUGCUUAGAUAUCGUCAAGAACACCGAUAGCGAAGGCAGCUUACUGGGCUGUAACUGACACUGAGGAACGAAAGCCAGGGGAGCAAACGGG
rnacentral:rRNA from 1 species